AUUCGAAGAGCAGUGUCUCUUCGAUUUUUGAGGAAGUAAUCAUGUUGGGAGUCUGGCUCUCGAGAUUCGGAGGGCGGUGCCUCUUCGAUUUUGGAGCAAGCAAUCUUGUUGGGAGUGUUGUCUCGAAUGUGAGUAAAGGUUGGGCAUGUUUGCUAGUCUACCUUGCCACGAAGCACAAAGGUUGACACACAGGGACUUUCCAAUUAUCCAGCAAUGGUACUGUUCCUUUACCCUCUCUUCGAUUUUGAGAAAGUAGUCAUGUUGGGAGUCUGGCUCUCGAGAUUCGGAGGACGGUGCCUCUUCGAUUUUGGAGCAAGCAAUCUUGUUGGGAGUGUUUUCUCGAAUGUGAGUAAAGGUUGGGCAUGUUUGCUAGUCUACCUUGCCACGAAGCAGAGAGGUUGACACACAGGGACUUUCCAAUUAUCCAGCAGUGGUACUGUUCCUUUACCCUUGUGGGUAAUAAUAUGGUAGCUAGACCUUCAAAAUUUAUGUGUCUAAACUUUGUUAGUGCUGUUUCUUUGCUAUUCUUUUACCUUUCUUGGUCAGAGCGAUUUAGUGGGAGCUGCAAGCUUCACGUGCUCAACUUUGGCAGAGAACUUUGGCAAAGUUAUCUGUGGUACCCAUGAGCUAUUGUUGCGUGUGGGAAGUGGGUAAUUGAACAGUAAGAUUCAUGUGCUUUCUACUUCACCAGAAAUCUACGACAGAAUGCCCAUAAUUUCUGCAAAGCUGAGUGUGCGUGUGACAGGUGCUGACAAGGCUAGAAAAGUAGGUGCCUCUUCGAUUUCUGAGAUCGGCCCUCGUGGUCUCUGAGCAGCCCAGCUUUUGAGAAAGCGAGCACCUCUUCGAUUGAUUCGGAGAACGAUGCCUCAUCGAUUUUUGAGAAAGCAAUCAGGCUGGGGGUCUGGCUCUCGAAGAUUCGGGGAGCAGUGUCUCUUCGAUUUUUGAGAAAGUAAUCAUGUUGGGAGUCUGGCUCUCGAGAUUCGGAAGGCGGUGCCUCUUCGAUUUUGGAGCAAGCAAUCUUGUUGGGAGUGUUGUCUCGAAUGUGAGUAAAGGUUGGGCAUGUUUGCUAGUCUACCUUGCCACGAAGCACAAAGGUUGACACACAGGGACUUUCCAAUUAUCCAGCAAUGGUACUGUUCCUUUACCCUCUCUUUGAUUUUGAGAAAGUAGUCAUGUUGGGAGUCUGGCUCUCGAGAUUCGGAGGACGGUGCCUCUUCGAUUUUGGAGCAAGCAAUCUUGUUGGGAGUGUUUUCUCGAAUGUGAGUAAAGGUUGGGCAUGUUUGCUAGUCUACCUUGCCACGAAGCAGAGAGGUUGACACACAGGGACUUUCCAAUUAUCCAGCAGUGGUACUAUUCCUUUACCCUUGUGGGUAAUAAUAUGGUAGCUAGACCUUCAAAAUUUAUGUGUCUAAACUUUGUUAGUGCUGUUUCUUUGCUAUUC
rnacentral:lncRNA from 1 species